rnacentral:RNase_P_RNA from 1 species
UGGCGGCUUGUCGCUCGUUAACUCAUGGUUGCGAGAGGAAAGUCCGGGCAACACAGAGCGUCACAUUUCUUAACGGGAAGCUGCGGGUGACCGUAGGGUUAAGGUGACAGAAAAUAACCGCCGCGACCUCACGCGUGAGGACUGCGGUAAGGGUGAAAAGGCGGGGUAAGAGCCCACCGGGCGCUGUGGCGACACGGCGUGCCGCACCACCUGUGAGUUGCAAGUUCAUGUAUACCGGCAUCUAAGGGUUGCUCGCCCAUUGCCGGGGGGUAGAACGCUAUACCGGCGCAGCAAUGUGUCGGACAGAUAAAUGACAAGCACCUGCCGUCCUGGCAGGCACAAAACCCGGCUUAUAGCCAUACU